rnacentral:rRNA from 1 species
AUUGAACGCUGGCGGCAUGCCUUACACAUGCAAGUCGAACGGCAGCACGGGGCAACCUGGUGGCGAGUGGCGAACGGGUGAGUAAUGCAUCGGAACGUACCUUUCAGUGGGGGAUAACGUAGCGAAAGUUACGCUAAUACCGCAUAUUCUGUGAGCAGGAAAGCAGGGGAUCGCAAGACCUUGCGCUGAUUGAGCGGCCGAUGUCAGAUUAGCUAGUUGGUGAGGUAAAGGCUCACCAAGGCGACGAUCUGUAGCGGGUCUGAGAGGAUGAUCGGCCACACUGGAACUGAGACACGGUCCAGACUCCUACGGGAGGCAGCAGUGGGGAAUUUCGGAAAAUGGGGGCAACCCUGAUCCAGCCAUGCCGCGUGAGUGAAGAAGGCCUUCGGGUUGUAAAGCUCUUUCGGCCGGGAAGAAAUCGCACGGGCUAAUACCCUGUGUGGAUGACGGUACCGGAAUAAGAAGCACCGGCUAACUACGUGCCAGCCGCCGCGGUAAUAC